rnacentral:RNase_P_RNA from 2 species
UAUGCGGGCUGGACGGUCGCGGUGGCCUUGCGCCAACGAGGAAAGUCCGGGCUUCUUGAGGCAGGAUGCCGGCUAACGGCCGGGCGGGGAAACCCGAUGGAAAGUGCUGAAGAAACUUAAACUCCCACUGGCGCCUUCGGGCGUUAAGAGAAAAGCUGAGAAGGUGCGGUAAGAGCGCACCAGCACGUCAGCAAUGGCGUGGCUUGGUAAACCCCAUCCGAAGCAAGGGCGAAUAGGCAUGCGAUACGGUUGAGCCUCUCCGUGCAUGCGGGUAGCCUGCUUGAGGCGUGUGGUAACGCACGUCCUAGAUAAAUGGCCGUCUUCAACGACAGAACCCGGCUCAUAGGCCCGCUAAGGCA